rnacentral:rRNA from 1 species
GCCAGACUCCUACGGGAGGCAGCAGUGGGGAAUAUUGGACAAUGGGGGGAACCCUGAUCCAGCGACGCCGCGUGAGUGAAGAAGUAUUUCGGUAUGUAAAGCUCUCUCAGCAGGGAAGAAAGAAAUGACGGUACCUGACUAAGAAGCCCCGGCUAACUACGUGCCAGCAGCCGCGGUAAUACGUAGGGGGCAAGCGUUAUCCGGAUUUACUGGGUGUAAAGGGAGCGUAGACGGCGAUGCAAGUCUGAAGUGAAAGGCGGGGGCCCAACCCCCGGACUGCUUUGGAAACUGUAUAGCUGGAGUGCAGGAGAGGUAAGUGGAAUUCCUAGUGUAGCGGUGAAAUGCGUAGAUAUCAGGAGGAACACCGGCGGCGAAGGCGGCCUGCUGGACCGUGACUGACGUUGAGGCUCGAGAGCGUGGGGAGCAAACAGGAUUAGAUACCCCAGUA